rnacentral:tRNA from 1 species
GUAUACAUAAUUUAGUCAAAAUGUUAGGCUGUGAUCCUAGAAACGAAAGUUCAACACUUUCUGUAAACCG